UCGCCAGUCAUAUGCUUGUCACAAAGAUUAAGCCAUGCAUGUCUGAGUACUUGCUGACCUUAGGCGAAACCGCGAAUGGCUCAUUAAAUCAGUCACGAUUUACGGGAUUUCGGGCAAAUUUUACUCGGAUAACUGUGGUAAUUCUAGAGCUAAUACGUGCAACUAGUCUCCGACCCCGACCUUACCUCGCGUUCGGUCGGGGGAAGGGCGCAUUUAUUAGAACCAAAAACCGGGUGGACAGUCGGGUGUUGGCAAUCUGCUUCUGCUGAUGACUGCCUUUUUCAGUCCUACUCGUUGUAGUAGGCUAUGGGGGCAGCCUCUGCAGCAGCAGCAUUCGUCCUCCUCGUCCAUUCCUCUUCGGUUAUGUGGUGACUCCGGAUAUUCCUACAGCCGAGCGCUGAGGCCUUUGUGCCGGCGCCGGAUCCCACGAGUGUCUGCUCUAUCAGCUUUCGAUUGUAGGUUAUUCGCCUACAAUGGCUGUAACGGGUAACGGGGAAUCAGGGUUCGAUUCCGGAGAGGGAGCCUGAGAAACGGCUACCACAUCUAAGGAAGGCAGCAGGCACGCAAAUUACCCACUCCCGGCUAGGGGAGGUAGUGACGCGAAAUAACGAUGCGGGACUCUUCCGAGGCCUCGCAAUCGGAAUGAGCUCAG
rnacentral:rRNA from 1 species